CCUACGGGAGGCAGCAGUGGGGAAUAUUGCACAAUGGGGGAAACCCUGAUGCAGCGACGCCGCGUGAAGGAAGAAGUAUUUCGGUAUGUAAACUUCUAUCAGCAGGGAAGAAAAUGACGGUACCUGCCUAAGACGCCCCGGCUAACUACGUGCCAGCAGCCGCGGUCAUACGUAGGGGGCCAGCGUUAUCCGGAUUUACUGGGUGUAAAGGGAGCGUAGGCGGUUUAGCAAGUCAGAAGUGAAAGCCCGGGGCUCAACUCCGGGACUGCUUUUGAAACUGUUGAACUAGAUUGCAGGAGAGGUAAGUGGAAUUCCUAGUGUAGCGGUGAAAUGCGUAGAUAUUAGGAGGAACACCAGUGGCGAAGGCGGCUUACUGGACUGUAAAUGACGCUGAGGCUCGAAAGCGUGGGGAGCAAACAGGAUUAGAUACCCUUGUAGUC
rnacentral:rRNA from 1 species